rnacentral:lncRNA from 1 species
UUUUGUAUAACACUAUCACAAACUCAUUAAGUUAGACUCUGUCUUAGUAAAUAGUAGUCACCCGGUACUAGUUAAACCAUUUCCAAUUGGAUAAUGUGGAGAGGUCGUCUCAAGUUCGAAUUUAGUAAUGAGGAGAAACUGUUAAUAUACAUAAAACAUGCAUUUGCCUACACUAUGAAGUGAUUAUUGACCUUAGUUGCAACAAUUAAACAAAUAAUUUUCUACAUAAUUAUAUGGAAAUCAAUUACAUAACUCAUAAACAUUUUAUUUAUAGUACUAAAACUCCAUAAAAUUAUUGCUUAUUUCUUAUAUUUUUAGUUUAGACCCUUAGAAAAUAUAAAGAAUAAUAUGUUGUAGAUCAACGGUGACUAUUUUUGUAAGAGUGGACUUUUCAAAUUGUAUUCCACAAAAAUGAAAGAUUGUUUGAAAAGAAAAUUGAAAAUCUUUUACCAAACAAGAGAGGAGUUUUUUUUUUCGAACAGAAGAAGUGAUUUGGAGAUCUUACGAAGUGAGGCCAGUUUAAAGUAUACUUUCGAUUUCGACCAACCACCAACUGGC